rnacentral:rRNA from 1 species
CACUCUGGGACAAGCCCGAAACGGGGUCUAAUAUUGGAUAACACUCCUCCUCUCCUGAGGAGGAGUUAAAAGCUCCGGCGGUGAAGGAUGAGCCCGCGGCCUAUCAGCUAGUUGGUGAGGUAAUGGCUCACCAAGGCGACGACGGGUAGCCGGCCUGAGAGGGCGACCGGCCACACUGGGACUGAGACACGGCCCAGACUCCUACGGGAGGCAGCAGUGGGGAAUAUUGCACAAUGGGCGAAAGCCUGAUGCAGCGACGCCGCGUGAGGGAUGACGGCCUUCGGGUUGUAAACCUCUUUCAGCAGGGAAGAAGCGAAAGUGACGGUACCUGCAGAAGAAGCGCCGGCUAACUACGUGCCAGCAGCCGCGGUAAUACGUAGGGCGCAAGCGUUGUCCGGAAUUAUUGGGCGUAAAGAGCUCGUAGGCGGCUUGUCACGUCGGGUGUGAAAGCCCGGGGCUUAACCCCGGGUCUGCAUUCGAUACGGGCUAGCUAGAGUGUGGUAGGGGAGAUCGGAAUUCCUGGUGUAGCGGUGAAAUGCGCAGAUAUCAGGAGGAACACCGGUGGCGAAGGCGGAUCUCUGGGCCAUUACUGACGCUGAGGAGCGAAAGCGUGGGGAGCGAACAGGAUUAGAUACCCUGGUAGUCCACGCCGUAAACGGUGGGAACUAGGUGUUGGCGACCAUUCCCACGUCGUCGGUGCCCGCAGCUAACGCAUUAAGUUUCCCC